UGGUGCUGUCCAGAGAGUUUGAUCCUGGCUCAGGAUGAACGCUGGCGGCGCGCCUAACACAUGCAAGUCGAACGGCACCCACCCUCGGGUGGAAGCGAGUGGCGAACGGCUGAGUAACACGUGGAGAACCCGCCCCUCCUCCGGGAUAGCCUCGGGAAACCGUGGGUAAUACCGGAUGACCCCGCGGGGCCGCAUGGCCCCGCGGGCAAAGCCCAGACGGGAGGGGAUGGCUCCGCGGCCCAUCAGGUAGACGGCGGGGUGACGGCCCACCGUGCCGACGACGGGUAGCCGGGUUGAGAGACCGACCGGCCAGAUUGGGGCUGAGACACGGCCCAGACUCCUACGGGAGGCAGCAGUGGGGAAUCUUGCGCAAUGGGGGGAACCCUGACGCAGCGACGCCGCGUGCGGGACGAAGGCCCUCGGGUCGUAAACCGCUUUCAGCAGGGAUGAGACAAGACGGUACCUGCAGAAGAAGCCCCGGCUAACUACGUG
rnacentral:rRNA from 1 species